GUUCCUUUGUUCGGGGGUAGCAUCAUCGACUUGAACGAUUUCGGGCCUGGUCGGUGCUUCAUCUUGAGUCAGAGCAGCAUCUUCUGCACCAACCCCAUCUUUCGAUCCUGGAGGAAUGAUGCUACUCAAGUCGAGGCUCGGGUAUAAUUUUUUGACUGCAUCUCGACCGUCUUCAUACCCAAUGCAGUGCGAGAUGAAGCCACUUUCGAGGAUCUCUUCCUUGAAU
rnacentral:lncRNA from 1 species